ensembl:lncRNA
CAUCCGCCCUCCGCCGGGGCCCUCCCGCCUCGUUGGUGCCCGGGGGCUCGGCGGGAUGACGCGGCUCCCUCCGUGGUGUGGGACCUGAGCCGCCGUGGGUGAGCGCCUGCCCGGGGUGGGGUGGAUGGGGGGUGGAGGGUUCCGGGCCUCGCCCGGCCCUAUCGAAGCUGCGCCUGCCGUGCGCUGUGGCAGCCGCAGUCAAAAAGGAGCCCAGAGCCACGCGUUUUCCUCGACGGUCGCUGCGCGGUUUGGUCUUCUGUAACCGCCCAGCAACAAAUGGGGAAACUACAGGGGCCGGGUCAGCGGCGCAGGGACUCCACCGCAGUGCUCUCAGGCAUUGGUGGCACCGAACCUGUGCUUCUGGGCCCGCGUUUGGAGGGGUGGUGGCGGGUGGGGCGCAGCACAGCGUUACCGUGCCUUUAAAUGCUUUUCUGUCUAAGGAGCGCUGUGGAGAUGCUGCUUGCAGUGCCACCCGGUGCAGGAGGCGGUGCUGGGCAGGGUUUCUCGCUGUUUGGAGCUCACUGCCUGCCUGCUGAUAGACCCAAGGAACUGCACGCUUAGUGGGAGAGGCUGAGAGCUUCUGAGACCCCGUGGAGGGUUUUGGUUUGCUUUGCUUAAGGCUGAAAUUGUGGAGAAACUGAAGUGGAGUGUGUCAGUGUCCCCUGUGAGUAAUUGCCUGGCAUUGCUGGGGGUUGGAGUGAGUUCUUGUCAGUGCUUGUUGACAAAGGGCAGUGGGAAUACGGUUUGCAGGUGGGAAUUAUAAACUCGAUUAAAGGUCUGUAAUUGGGUGGCCUCAUUUGUAGGGCAGAGCCCCUGUGGGAUGAGCUGUUCCCUAAUGUUGCUCCAAGCACAGCCUGGUCAGUGAUGACACCUUUCUUUGGAGACUGCUGGAUGAAUCCUGCGGAUAUGGGGCUGAGGCCAGGCUGCAGCAUCAGCUGAAGUCACUGCACACUGUCACACUGCACUUCAUUCAAAAUGAAUUCUUUUCUUCUUUGUUAGGUUUAAAUGGAAUACAGACCCGAGUGUCUUCAAUCCUAAAGAAGCGGUGGUCUGCACAACCACAUGGUGGCUGCUCUGUGAGUUGGGAGCUCCCCCAGGUGGGAGAGCUGCAGUGGUGCAGCAGUCACUGAGUGCUGUUGGCCAGGGGAGCCUCUGAGGGACACUGCCAGAGCUCCCAUUCAGGUGCUCAGUGAGGAAGAAUGUUCCCUGCUACAGAGUUCUGCCAAAAGAAGAGCUUUCAGGAAUGUCUGGGUAGGAAAUAUUUGGAGUCCAGUACCCAGGUCUGGGGCCUCCAGCACAGAGAGAUGUGCAGCAGAGCCAGAGUGAGUUGGAGAGGCAGCUGAACACGGGGCUGGGUGAUGGCUGCCCUCACUGCAUCAGUGUGUCAGCACACAGUGCUGAGGUUUGGGCACAGCAGAUAUGCCAAUGAGUCCUACAGCUCAUUCUCACCUCUUCAUCUGUUUGGAUGUGUAGCUCCAGGUACACAGUUUCUUAAAGUUUUACUGUUAAGACUUUUCCAUUACAGUAUGUAAGUAAUUUUAUUAUAAAAUAAUGGUAAAAUAUUUUACAAAAUGCAACUGUUUUGUGCUGCCAGUCUGUUAGCCUCUGUCUUUGGUUCUCUGGGAGGUAACAUGUAUGUGUCCAGAAACAUGGGAGUAGCAUCUCCCAGGGUGCUCCCAGAGGUUCUUGGGGUGCACAAAAGUUGCCUGAGAGCUCUGGGAGCAGUCUGGUGUGGCCCAAAGCACACUGGGGUGUAUACAGAUUAGAGGGGAGUAUACUGGAAAGCCUCUAAGGCACCAUAGAGCUCACUGAGAAGCUCUGGG